AGAGUUUGAUCCUGGCUCAGAACGAACGCUGGCGGCGUGCCUAACACAUGCAAGUCGUACGAGAAAGUCCCCGCAAGGGGAUGAGUAAAGUGGCGCACGGGUGAGUAACGCGUGGGUAACCUACCCUUAAAUUGGGGAUAACUCCGCGAAAGCGGGGCUAAUACCGAAUAAUACCCCGUUUCCCUUGGGAAACGGGGUCAAAGAUGGCCUCUGCAUGCAAGCUAUUGUUUAAGGAUGGGCCCGCGUACCAUUAGCUAGUUGGUAGGGUAACGGCCUACCAAGGCUGCGAUGGUUAGCUGGUCUGAGAGGAUGGCCAGCCACACUGGAACUGAGACACGGUCCAGACUCCUACGGGAGGCAGCAGUGGGGAAUCUUGCGCAAUGGGGGAAACCCUGACGCAGCAACACCGCGUGGGUGAUGAAGGCCUUCGGGUCGUAAAGCCCUGUCAAGUGGAAAGAAACGUGACCAUGCCAAUACCAUGGUCAUUUGACGGUACCACUGGAGGAAGCACCGGCUAACUCCGUGCCAGCAGCCGCGGUAAUACGGAGGGUGCAAGCGUUGUUCGGAAUUAUUGGGCGUAAAGCGCGUGUAGGCGGUCGGGUAAGUCAGAUGUGAAAUCCUUCUGCUUAACAGAAGAAGUGCAUUUGAUACUGCUCGGCUGGAGUACGGGAGAGGAGAGUGGAAUUCCCGGUGUAGAGGUGAAAUUCGUAGAUAUCGGGAGGAACACCGGUGGCGAAGGCGGCUCUCUGGUCCGAUACUGACGCUGAGACGCGAAAGCGUGGGGAGCAAACAGGAUUAGA
rnacentral:rRNA from 1 species